AAGAACCUGAAACCGUGUACGUACAAGCAGUGGGAGCCCCACCACCAAAGCAUUCUCUGGUGUUGAAGGCCCUGCAAAGCAGCAUCGCGGUGGCGGAGCGUCGUUUGCGACGCCCAACACACAAAACAAGCGGUGAGUGCUUUGGGGUGGGGUGACUGCGUACCUUUUGUAUAAUGGGUCAGCGACUUAUAUUCUGUAGCAAGGUUAACCGUAUAGGGGAGCCGUAGGGAAACCGAGUCUUAACCGGGCGUUAAGUUGCAGGGUAUAGACCCGAAACCCGGUGAUCUAGCCAUGGGCAGGUUGAAGGUUGGGUAACACUAACUGGAGGACCGAACCGACUAAUGUUGAAAAAUUAGCGGAUGACCUGUGGCUGGGGGUGAAAGGCCAAUCAAACCGGGAGAUAGCUGGUUCUCCCCGAAAGCUAUUUAGGUAGCGCCUCGUGAAUUCAUCUCCGGGGGUAGAGCACUGUUUCGGCUAGGGGGCCAUCCCGGCUUACCAACCCGAUGCAAACUGCGAAUACCGGAGAAUGUUAUCACGGGAGACACACGGCGGGUGCUAACGUCCGUCGUGAAGAGGGAAACAACCCAGACCGCCAGCUAAGGUCCCAAAGUCAUGGUUAAGUGGGAAACGAUGUGGGAAGGCCCAGACAGCCAGGAUGUUGGCUUAGAAGCAGCCAUCAUUUAAAGAAAGCGUAAUAGCUCACUGGUCGAGUCGGCCUGCGCGGAAGAUGUAACGGGGCUAAACCAU
rnacentral:rRNA from 1 species